rnacentral:tRNA from 1 species
GCGAAGGUGGCGGAAUUGGUAGACGCGCUAGCUUCAGGGGUUAGUGUCCUUACGGACGUGGGGGUUCAAGUCCCCCCCCCUCGCACCA